UGGGUGGUGUCCGCUCUCCCUGUCUCUCCUCACUAGCCAUGUCCUCUCUUUCUUCACCCUCACUUUCCCUUCUCUCAGUCUCCUCAUCCCUUCUUCCCUCAAUCUUUGAGACUAAUGUCCCGGGGUGCAUCGUGGUGCAGGGGCCCUCCUCUUUUUGACCACAGGGCGAUGCACAAAGAUGCACAAGAACCAGAGGGGGAUUCAAUAGAGCCUGAAUACC